AUACGGAGGAUGCGAGCGUUAUCCGGAUUUAUUGGGUUUAAAGGGUGCGUAGGCGGUCUGUUAAGUCAGCGGUAAAAGCCCGGGGCUCAACUCCGGCGAGCCGUUGAAACUGGCGGACUAGAGAAGGCGAGAAGUACGCGGAAUGCGCAGUGUAGCGGUGAAAUGCAUAGAUAUUGCGCAGAACUCCGAUUGCGAAGGCAGCGUACCGGCGCCUGACUGACGCUGAGGCACGAAAGCGUGGGUAUCGAACAGGCUUAGAUACCCUGGUAGUCCACGCAGUAAACGAUGAAUGCCGGCUGUUCGGGCCAAUUGAGGCCUGAGUGGCGAAGCGAAAGCGAUAAGCAUUCCACCUGGGGAGUACGCCGGCAACGGUGAAACUCAAAGGAAUUGACGGGGGCCCGCACAAGCGGAGGAACAUGUGGUUUAAUUCGAUGAUACGCGAGGAACCUUACCCGGGCUCAAACGGGAGCGGAAUGGCGGAGAGACCCGUCAGUCUACGGACCGCUUCCGAGGUGCUGCAUGGUUGUCGUCAGCUCGUGCCGUGAGGUGUCGGCUUAAGUGCCAUAACGAGCGCAACCCCUGCCGACUGUUGCUAACGAGUCAUGUCGAGGACUCAGUCGGGACUGCCGGCGCAAGCCGCGAGGAAGGCGGGGAUGACGUCAAAUCAGCACGGCCCUUACGUCCGGGGCGACACACGUGUUACAAUGGGCGGCACAGAGGGAAGCCAGGUGGCGACACCGCGCGGAACCCGAAAGCCGUUCUCAGUUCGGAUCGGAGUCUGCAACCCGACUCCGUGAAGCUGGAUUCGCUAGUAAUCGCGCAUCAGCCAUGGCGCGGUGAUACGUUCCCG
rnacentral:rRNA from 1 species